AUACGAUCGUAUCAAAAAAGUGAGAAAAAAAUUAUUCUUGAAAAUUUUUAAUGGCGAAUGUGUAAAUGUACAAAAUGUUGUAUAAUUUUAAUAAAUUAUGUAAUUUGCAUUAUAAAAUAUUUUGUUAUUCAAAAUUACUAUUUUUACUUGAUUCUUCAAAUUUAGAAUUGUUAUAUACUAUUAUAAAAUAAUUAGGCCAUCAAAUCGGAUAAUAGCCGAUAUUAAGGGUCUUAAUUACGUAUCAUUAUGGAGGUACCUACUUUCUAAUCUUAUCGAUGAGAUAAUGUGGAAAUUAGUCAUAUUUAUCCACAAAACUCCCCUUUCAUUUAUGAACUAAAUUAAAAUACACAUUAUAGGUAUAAAUUAAUACUGCGUUGAUUUUAGGUGCCCAAAGUUGCAUAUUUUAAUUCAAAACGUUAAGUUUUAGAGGACGGAUCGUAAGUGGGUCUGGAUGACAUGUUUAAGGAACUCAUUCAGGAUCUCAGACUAACCACCAACUAUCCAAUUAGGAGUUUCUUCGCACCCUUCCUGAUUUUCUGAAGGUGUGGCGAAGAUAUAAGAAAAAUCCAUUGACGGUAUGAGAAACAGUAGUGAUUAACAACAGAGUGUCACCAGAACGUUAUUUUAUCGUUGAUAGAUCGAACAAGACUUCCCAGUCACCGUAGAUCAAACGAGACUCCCUCCACGAGUUAUACUAACCUUAUACAGUUCACUUAUAAUUUUACAAAAUUAAUUAAAAUAAAACAAAUGUUUCAUUUUCGUUAAAUUCAAUAAUUUUAAUUUGUUUCAGUGAAUGUCAGUGAUUUAAUUAUUGGCUCAUCUAAAUGGUGUUUAGAAAGAUGUUUGAAACAAUACCCUAAAGAAGAGGUCAAUGAUGAGACUAAAGAGAAUUGCGAAAAAGAAAUUAAUAAACCGCUUAAAGAAAUUAAUACAGCAAAUGACAUAUACGUUUAAUAAGAUAAGAUUUUUUUAAAACUGUUUGUUAUCAAUAUAAUGAAUAAUUUUAUUCAUAUUAAGUUUCUUUAAUUUGUCUCUUAUAGUUUUAUUGUUAAUCUUUAAAUUAAGUGCACUUUUAUAAAUAGUUAAAAUGAUUUUCCUAUAGUAACAUUCUCUAAAAUAAGCUGAACUA